CCCUGGGAUAUCUCAGUCGGCAGAGCAUGAGACUCUUGAUCUCAAGGUUGUGGGUUGCGGUUCGAAUCCCCGCAAUGGAGU